ensembl:lncRNA
GUUAGGAGCAGGUUAGGCUAGGGUUAGUAGCAGGUUAGGGCUAGGGUUAGGAGCAGGUUAGGGCUAGGGUUAGGAGCAGGUUCGGCUAGGGUUAGUAGCAGGUUAGGGCUAGGGUUAGUAGCAGGUUAGGGCUAGGGUUAGUAGCAGGUUAGGGCUAGGGUUAGUAGCAGGUUAGGGCUAGGGUUAGUAGCAGGUUAGGCUAGGGUUAGUAGCAGGUUAGGACUAGGGUUAGCUGCAGGUUAGGGCUAGGGUUAGUAGCAGGUUAGGCUAGGGUUAGUAGCAGAUUAGGGCUAGGGUUAGUAGCAGGUUAGGUUAGGGUUAGGAGCAGGUUAGGCUAGGGUUAGGGUUAGCUGCAGGUUAGGGCUAGGGUUAGUAGCAGGUUAGGUUAGGGUUAGUAGCAGGUUAGGGCUAGGGUUAGGUUAGUAGCAGGUUAGGGCUAGGGUUAGUAGCAGGUUAGGGCUAGGGUUAGGAGCAGGUUAGGCUAGGGUUAGUAGCAGGUUAGGGCUAGGGUUAGGAGCAGGUUAGGGCUAGGGUUAGGAGCAGGUUCGGCUAGGGUUAGGAGCAGGUUAGGCUAGGGUUAGGGUUAGCUGCAGGUUAGGGCUAGGGUUAGUAGCAGGUUAGGUUAGGGUUAGUAGCAGGUUAGGGCUAGGGUUAGUAGCAGGUUAGGGCUAGGGUUAGUAGCAGGUUAGGCUAGGGUUAGGGUUAGGAUGCAGGUUAGGGCUAGGGUUAGUAGCAGGUUAGGCUAGGGUUAGUAGCAGGUUAGGGCUAGGGUUAG